CAUCCGCCAGAGAACUACAAGAGAAAAUCUUAAAACUCAAAGGACUUGACGGUGGCCCACACCAACCUAGAGGAGCCUGUCCUUUAAUCGAUGACCCACGAUACACCUCACCCCCCCUUGCACCACCAAGCCUAUAUACCUCCGUCGCCAGCCUGCCUAGUGAUAGCAAAAACGCAGGCAGAACAGUCACACACUAACACGUCAGGUCAAGGUGUAGCUAAUGGGAGGGGAAGAGAUGGGCUACAUUUUCUACAAACUAGAACACACCGUAGGUUACAUGAAACUUUAACCGACCGGCGGAUUUAGCAGUAAGAAGGACAAGACAUGCCCAACUGAAACCCGCUCUGGGCCGCGUACACACC
rnacentral:rRNA from 1 species